CAAAAACAAAAGUGUUGCAUUUAUAUUUUUGUUCAGUGUAGGAAAAAAAAGAUAUGUGUUUUAUCUAACAUUUAAAGCUAUUCUAACAUUUUGUCAAUACAGGGCACACUUCACCUGUGCUGUAGUUGCAAUGAGGCUUUUCUGUUUUUGUUGGUUAAAGCCCUCUGGAGGAUGUGAGCCAAACUUGAAAAACACAUCAGUAAGGAGAAGUGUAAUUACCACUCUAGGAAGCAGUUACCACGUAAGAGUCCAGUCGUGAGAGGAUAGAUGCUGUGUGAAAGUCAUGAGAGCACCCGAAUGGCCAGUAUUUUAAGCACCUACGGAAGCAGACACUGCAGGUUUUGAUGAAGAGGAGUAUGAGGAACAGAGCAAUAGCGAGGAGGAAGGCCAAGACAUCCAGGCUGUGAUACUGGUACCAGGCAUGGACAACCCACCGUUCCUGCACCGUGGAAAAGACCUUGAUAUCACUGCCUGCUCUGCUAUUGAAUUCUGCCUGAUUGGGCCACAAAAGAUCCUCAGACUUCAUGCCAAACAGAACCAGAGAGGAAUAAACCAACACCAAGUUGCUGAAGGCUUGGCCAGAAAAUCUGCCAUGACAGAAAGACAGGCAGCAGUGAUGACUGUUGCCCACGGCGACUGUCCCGGAUGGUCGUACUCCACAACCAGAGAGAAGCAGCUCCAGGGGAAGUCCGCCCCGACGUGCUGCUCAUGCACCACCACACACACA